GGGGAUGCGUGGUUUCGACAGGGCAGGCGACGUGAGCGUCGCGAGCCGAGGAACGCCGUUCCUCCUCGUUAAUCCGAACGGCAGCCAGAUAACUGGCAACACUUCUUACGCACUCGCUGCCUAGUCAGUGAGCGUCCUCCCGGUCUCCCCUUCGCGGGCCGGGAAGGGCGAAAGAAGCGAAGGUGCGGUCCGCUGAUCGGCUGGUAGGCG
rnacentral:tmRNA from 1 species